GCCCCUGUAGCGCAAUGGUAGCGCGUGAGACUUCUAAUCUCAAGGUUGCGGGUGACCCCCACCAGGGGUU